rnacentral:antisense_RNA from 1 species
ACACUUGGCAGACAUCCUAAAUGCCGGGCCCAUUAAACACCUGAAAAGAUUGUUUCUUUUUAUUCCCUCUUUCUUACCGGAGUGCGCAUAUACGAGAUAUACAGUUCCCUUUACAUCAAAUACUCAAAACCGAAACACCGAACCGCUGCCCUGAUGCAGCGGUUCGGUGUUU